GGUUUGAAAGCUCCGGCGGUACAGGAUGACCAUGCGCACGAUUAGUUAGUUGGUAAGGUAACGGCUUACCAAGACAAUGAGUGGGUAGGGGGUCCUGAGAGGGAGAUCCCCCACACUGGUACUGAGACACGGACCAGACUCCUACGGGAGGCAGCAGUGAGGAAUAUUGGUCAAUGGGCGCAAGCCUGAACCAGCCAUGCCGCGUGCAGGAAGACGGUCCUAUGGAUUGUAAACUGCUUUUAUACAGGAAGAAACCCUCCCACGUGUGGGAGCUUGACGGUACUGUAGGAAUAAGGAUCGGCUAACUCCGUG
rnacentral:rRNA from 1 species